UGAAUCUAAAUUUGUUUGGUUUUAAAUGAAUUCAGCUGAGAAACACUGCUGAGAAUAUCAGCAGUGUUUGAUACAUCCAUUAACACAUGGUCUGCUGGUGUGUGUUUGUUCAUGUUGUGUGGACUGAAUGACCCUCACAGACAGAACACCUGAACUUCACAUAUUUCCCCUCCAUGUUCACUGUCUUUCCUCACAGUCACUCCACCAGCACCUGAGGUCGAGGCAGGUGAAGUUCUGUUCAGCAGCACUUCCAGCUGCUCUGUUCUGGAGUUAAUCGGUGAAGGCUGCUUUGGUAGAGUGGCCAGGUGCCAAAGGCUGGAGACAGAAGAGACAGUUGCUGUAAAGAUCCUCAAAGACUUUUAUGAUGUCAAGGACAAAGAGGAUUUGAGAUGCUGGAUAGAAGUCUCUAUGAUCUGCUCAAAGAACAAAGAGGGAAACCUCUGUCUGUGAAAGAGGUGCGACCAAUUGCACAGCAGAUGUUGGUCGCUUCGGAUGCCCUCAAGGGUCUUGGUGUCCUGCACACUGACAGUAAACCUGACAACCUUAUGUUAGUGAACCAGCAGGACCAGCCCUUCAGAGUAAAACUAAUCAAUUUUGGUGAAGUCAUUUCAGUUGCCGAUGUCCAGCCUGGGCAGAGUUUGUCAUUUUUCUAAAUAUCCACAUUGUUCUCCUUCCCCUUAAAGCUUGCAUACAGAUUUCUCAUCUUCUAGUCUUCCCUCUUCAGGGCUCCAGAGGUUGCUCUCAGCCUGCCCUUCACUGAGUCUAUUGAUGUGUGGGGAGUUGGCUGCAUCCUGGCCUACCUCUACCUCGCUGAUCACCUCUUCCCUUUUGUCUGUGAAUAUCAGAUGGUGAAGCGCAUCGUUGAGCUUCUGGGUCAGCUGGAGGACCACCUGCUCUGUGCUGGGAAAUAUACUGAGCACUUCUUCAGUCAGGAGGAAGCUGCUGAUGGUCCAUUAUGCAGGCUGAAGACACCAGAUAAACACGCAACUGCCGAUCUCAUACUACAAGAAGAGAACAGUGAUCCAGACCUAGCCCAGCUCUCUGGAUGACCUGGUUGUCUAUCUAAAAGAUGACAGUGAGGAGUUUGAGGACAGGACUAUGUUAUAGACCUCCUGAAACUGCUGCUGCAUCCUGUUGAGGAUCAGAGAACCUCUCCCCAUCAGGCUCUGCAGCACAGUUGCUUCACCAUGUCUCACCUGACUGAGCACCCUUGCAGCAGUGACUACA